rnacentral:misc_RNA from 1 species
UCCUCCGCUUAUUGAUAUGCUUAAGUUCAGCGGGUAUUCCUACCUGAUCCGAGGUCAACCUUGGUGCCGCCGGAGCGGGCUUGAGGGGGGUUUAGAGGCCGGAUAGCCCGCAGGCUCCCGAUGCGAGGCAGAUGUUACUACGCAAAGGAAGGGCCCAACGGGUCCGCCACUGGUUUUCGGGGACUGCCUGGGCAGAUCCCCAACGCCGGGCCACGGGGGCUCGAGGGUUGAAACGACGCUCGGACAGGCAUGCCUCCCAGGAUACUGGAAGGCGCCAUGUGCGUUCAAAGAUUCGAUGAUUCACUGAAUUCUGCAAUUCACAUUACAUAUCGCGUUUCGCUGCGUUCUUCAUCGAUGCUGGAGCCAAGAGAUCCGUUGUUGAAAGUUUUAACAGUUCGCUUAGAACACUCAGAUGUAUCGUCGGGUUCGAACAGAGAUUCUGAUAAUGCCGGCGGGCACGCCCCGGGAGGCGCGCCGCCGAAGCAACAGGUAUAAAGGUUCACAAAGGGUUAUGAGUUAUAGUACUCGGUAAUGAUCCCUCCGCUGGUUCACCAACGGAGACCUUGUUACGACUUUUUACUUCCUCUAAAUGACCAAG